GCUCAGGGUGUCGAGGUUGUCGUGCUUCGUCUGGGUUCAUCCGGUGGUGUUGCCGCCGCCGGUGCAUUUCCGGUCGAGGUUGGACCGUCAGUCGGGAAGACGCGGGAAUCUGAUUGUCGGUGUCGGGGAGGUAGGCCUUGCGGUUGCUCUCGAGCUCCCAGGGUCACAUAUAGCCCGUCACCGUGGUAUCCGUUGUCUUUCAGGUGUGUUGGAUGGCCGUUCGUCCAUUGUUGGUAGGUGCAGUCUCCCUUUUUGGGAGUUCGGGCCGGGUUUGGAGUCGCUUGAAGUCGUGGAGUUUGUGUUCCGUUCUCUCGCCGUUUGAUUCGUUCGGCGGUGUAGGGUGCGGCACGGCACGCGAUUUUCGGGUCCUCUGGAUUCGUGUCCAAGUC
rnacentral:misc_RNA from 3 species